CCUACGGGUGGCAGCAGUUUCGAAUCAUUCACAAGUGGCGAAAGCCUGAUGGUGCGACGCGCGUGAGGGAUGAAGGUCUUCGGAUUGUAAACCUCUGUCACUGGGGAGAAAACGCUUUGAGUUAAUAGUUCAAAGCCUGAUUUAACCCGGAGAGGAAGCAGUGGCUAACUCUGUGCCAGCAGCCGCGGUAAUACAGAGACUGCAAGCGUUAUUCGGAUUCACUGGGCGUAAAGGGUGCGCAGGCGGUUGGGUGUGUCAGAUGUGAAAAUCCCGAGGCUUAACCUCGGAACUGCGUCUGAAACUACUCGACUAGAGUACUGGAGAGGGAAACGGAAUUCACGGUGUAGCAGUGAAAUGCGUAGAUAUCGUGAGGAACACCAGAGGCGAAGGCGGUUUCCUGGACAGUUACUGACGCUCAGGCACGAAAGCAUGGGGAGCAAAAGGGAUUAGAUACCCCUGUAGUCCAUGCCCUAAACGGUGCACACUAGGUCUUGGCGGAUUCGACCCCACCAGGGCCCAAGCUA
rnacentral:rRNA from 1 species